rnacentral:rRNA from 1 species
AGUAGACGCUGACUACUUUAGCUUGCUAGAGUAGAAGGAGUUGCGAACGGGUGAGUAACGCGUAGGUAACCUGCCUACUAGCGGGGGAUAACUAUUGGAAACGAUAGCUAAUACCGCAUAACAGUGUUUAACACAUGUUAGAUGCUUGAAAGAUGCAAUUGCAUCACUAGUAGAUGGACCUGCGUUGUAUUAGCUAGUUGGUGGGGUAACGGCCCACCAAGGCGACGAUACAUAGCCGACCUGAGAGGGUGAUCGGCCACACUGGGACUGAGACACGGCCCAGACUCCUACGGGAGGCAGCAGUAGGGAAUCUUCGGCAAUGGGGGCAACCCUGACCGAGCAACGCCGCGUGAGUGAAGAAGGUUUUCGGAUCGUAAAGCUCUGUUGUAAGAGAAGAACGUGUGUGAGAGUGGAAAGUUCACACAGUGACGGUAACUUACCAGAAAGGGACGGCUAACUACGUGCCAGCAGCCGCGGUAAUACGUAGGUCCCGAGCGUUGUCCGGAUUUAUUGGGCGUAAAGCGAGCGCAGGCGGUUUAAUAAGUCUGA